rnacentral:rRNA from 1 species
GUCGAACGGGCGUAGCAAUACGUCAGUGGCAGACGGGUGAGUAACACGUGGGAACGUACCUCUUGGUUCGGAACAACACAGGGAAACUUGUGCUAAUACCGGAUAAGCCCUUACGGGGAAAGAUUUAUCGCCGAGAGAUCGGCCCGCGUCUGAUUAGCUAGUUGGUAGGGUAAUGGCCUACCAAGGCGACGAUCAGUAGCUGGUCUGAGAGGAUGAUCAGCCACAUUGGGACUGAGACACGGCCCAA